UACGUAGGGGGCUAGCGUUGUCCGGAAUCAUUGGGCGUAAAGCGCGUGUAGGCGGCCCGGUAAGUCCGCUGUGAAAGUCGGGGGCUCAACCCUCGGAUGCCGGUGGAUACUGUCGGGCUCGAGUACGGAAGAGGCGAGUGGAAUUCCUGGUGUAGCGGUGAAAUGCGCAGAUAUCAGGAGGAACACCGAUUGCGAAGGCAGCUCGCUGGGACGUUACUGACGCUGAGACGCGAAAGCGUGGGGAGCGAACAGG
rnacentral:rRNA from 1 species